AGUGGGUGUGAUUUUUCUUUCCCUAGCCAUACACGUAUUUCACCCCAAAAGUCCUCUUCUCUUAUCUCCUUUUGCUGCCCCAAAAGUCUUCCCCUUAACUCAUUUUCUUGGCUGCACCAGACAGAAAGUCCAGCCCUCUUUCCCUACUCUUUUCCUUGUUCUUUGUUUCUUUCUUCUCCCCUUCUUACAUGGCAGCCCUCCCUCUCUCACCAAAACAAAAUAUCCCUCUCUAAAAAAGAAAUUAAAGGGUUAACACUAAAAUUUCAGCUUCAAAUUGUUGGGGGUGUUACCAGUAUCCAAGUCUAAGCUUUUUCGACUUUAGGCUCUCGGUUCCUCUGCUUUCAGAUAAGGGAUAAGUUAUAUGGGUAUUUGGUAAGUCAUGAGGUUAUUUUAAAGUAUAUUAUGCAUUAAAAAGUUUUUGAUUAGAGAUAUGGCAUAUAAUCAUUAUUCUGACAAAGAUAUGUUCGUGAGCUUUCGAAACCUUAUGUAUAUGAUUUAAGCAUAUUGAUGCUAUUACUGAUUCCACGAACAUGAUGUUUAAAAAAAAAAAUGGAAAUGCUAUUAUUAUGAAAUGUUAUGCAAAAUAAGAAAUUUCAGUAUGAUGUAAAGUAUGAAAUGUUUUCGGGUUAUGUCCUCUGGUGAUCUGAACUCGGCUAGUAGGGGUUAAUUACUAGCUUUUCAUGGAAAAAUGUUAUCUAUUUGGCUAUUUAAAGUAGAGGAAAUGGGGCUGCCGGUAACUCUAGGCCAUUUAAAGUAGAGGAAAUGGGGUUACCCGUAACUCUAAUAUGAAUAAGGCAUUUUCCCCAAUGUGUACAGACGGCGGGGAGGAACAAAACCUAGAGGGGAUGUGCCAUCAGGCCACCCAAAGGGGACAAUAUCAUACACACGGGGGCACCCAAAUGUGAUAAGGCCUUCUCUAUACAGAUUUAUCAGAUAUGGACUAACCAAUAAGUUAUUUAUGAACAACUAUAUUAUGCUAUUAAUCAUGAGAGAAUGAUUUUGUUUAAAUGCAUCAUGAAAAGUUAAAAGCUCUCAUGAAAAGAAGUUUCUGAUAAAAAGAAAAGUUGUUCAUUAAAGAUAAAAGUUUCUGAAGUUCUGUUAUACUAUAAAGAUAAAGCUUCUGAUGAAAGUACAAGUUUAUGUUUAAAAGUUAUCAGAUAUUUGUUUUUAUGAAACGUUAAGUUUAUGACCAUGAAAGAUAUAGUAUUUUAUGAGAAGAAGUUUAAAAAGAAAAGUUUUCUUAUUAGUCAAGAUGUUUCUAGUUUAAUACAAAGUUGCCGAUUAUCUGAUUCAAGUUAAAAUAAUUAUUUUGUAAUGAGAAUAUAUAUAUAUGGCGACUUUGUAGGAAAUGAAGAAGUUUAAUCCAAAAGGUUUUGGUAAUAUUAACCCGAUAAGAGAAAGGAGAACAAUUAUUUUCUAUGAAGAGUGUAUAAGCUAUUAUUAUGAAUAGUAUAAAAUACUAUGCAUGAAAAGAUGUUCUCCUAUUCGAAUAUUCAUAGAAUGAAAUGAUUUGAUUUAAAUGCAUCCUUAUUAAAUUCUCAUAUAUCUUACCUGUGGGGGUAAAAUUCGCCAAUCAACGUUGGGCCAUGGUACUCGUACUAAGCCCAACCAUAAUAGGAAGCGAAGACACGGGCAGAGGACCCCCCAGCCCAAUCAUGUUGGGCCGAGUUUGCUUAAGGGGCGUCCGAGGAGGAGUACCUCCUCGGACGCACCAAACGAGAGUCCGAUUCACACCUUUUACAUGGUGAAAGGUCAUCCAAAAUCAAGGGAAAAUGCAGGACGUUCAAGGGGCAACCACAACUGCCGCAUUAAAUGCAAGGAAGCUACUUUUCUAGCCGCAUUAAUGUGGAAAGGACAGGAGAACAGUAUUAUCUUGGCCAGUACAACUCACAGAAAAGAAGGAGGAUGUCCUAUGGGAUAGGCACUCAAGUAGAGGCCCAGAUGAUUAACAAGUGUAGGGUCAUUAUCGUUCGAAGGAUGCUAUAUAAGAGAAGAAAAUCCCCAUGACCAGGGGAUAGAGAAGUGGAGAGAGAAAAGGAAGAAAAAGAGAAAAAGAGAGAGGAGUUCUGUAAACAAAGCAUAAGAUACAGCCCCACGAACUGUUAUCCUAGGAAGCUUAAUGGAAUAUCCCCACGUACAAAUGGUUGCAUGGCUUACUUAUAACUAUGUUUACUCUGUCAAGACCUAGUUCUGUGACCCACUCUCUAUAAAUUCAUUGUUGAAGGUUUUUUGGGCCAGAAUCGCUUGCCUGCUGGGCCUGGACCCCAAAAACAGCCCUUACAUUACCUUUAAUGAGUUGUGUAACUCACCCCUUCCACUCUUUCAGUUAGCAGGUUUUAUUUUGGAGCAGAGGGAGCCUUAGUCGAGUUUGGAAGGAGCUGGUUUUAGUUUUAUAUGUAUAGAUCCUAAAUUAGCAAUCUGAUGUUUAGCUUUGUAGUAUUGUGCAUUUUAAGAUCUAAUGAAAGUUGUGUACCUUAAAGUAUUAAGAGAUGUAUUAUGUGAAAGUGUAGAAAUUAAAUGAUUGGUGGAUUAUGUAAUAUUUUGAGUACAAUGUA